GGAAGCGUGGCUGAGGGGUUGAAGGCACCGGUUUCGAAAACCGGCAACGGGGAAACUCGUUCGAGGGUUCAAAUCCCUCCGCUUCCG
rnacentral:tRNA from 1 species